AGCUAUAGUCAGAGGACAGCCAGAUAAGAGAAGCUGAAAUGCCCCUAAUGCUUGGCGAACAGUUACCCUGUAAUCUUCCUGACUCUUUGAAAAAGGAAGAAAAACAAUGCAUACAAAACCUUGCUGAUGCUGAUUCUCCUUGAGUGAGGAAACAGGUGGGCUCUCCCUUCCUGGCCAGACUGAAAGCAUGUCACAUUCUCCUGCAGAACUUUCACAUGAGGAUGUUUGGGAGAGCUCUUAGUGGUGCAACUCACUUGAGUCUUAUUUUGAGGUGCCACUCUGCUUUGACUUUUCUGGAUAGACUCUCAUAGUAGGCAGAGCUCUUCUUACCUUGCCACCAGCUGAAGCAAACCUGGAGCCAUGACAGGCAGGCAAUGCAAUCACUGCCCUGCAAGCCAGGUGAUGUCCUGCCCAUCUCUCAGACUAGACCAGCCCAGCUGGAUCUGGUUCUUCUUACCUUUUUGAUGCUGCUCCUCAAACCCUUAUACUGAAAUAGGGCCAAGAACUGA